AAAAGCACAUCUUUUGACUCAUGGAGCUUAUAUUCUAGUGAAAGAGAAAGGCUUUUUAUAGAUUAUGCAAGUAACUGUGCUGACUGCAACAGAGACACGGGUUGCCAGGCUGGGGGUGUAGCUCGGCAGUGGAGUGCUUGCCUAACAUCUGCAAAGUCUUGGGUUCUGAAAAUAUGGGGUGCAUGGUAUCUGUGGUUCUCAGAUGACUCUCUGAGGAAGUAACAUUUGAGCUAAGAGUCUAAACUUUGUUUUCAGAAGAAUCAGUUAAGCCCGUGGGUCUGAAACUCCAGCAUCAGCUAUAGGGUGGCACACUUCUGUCCCAAGAGGAUUUCUCUCAAGCUCCAAGCUGCCCUGAUGCUGUGGGACCAGGGAGGCCUGAGCCGGAGAAAUGGGAAGAAGGAUGCACAAAGAGCAUCUUCCAGGUCUCACACAGAACGAAGGGGACAGUGCACUGUUUCCUAGUGUCGAGUGGUCAUUGACCCUUCCUGCUCCUGUCUGCCUGAGAGGAGCCUUGUCCCUGCAGAUACAUGUCCCGAUGGAGGAGGCUCCUUUCUGCCUGACACAUGAUCUCAGCUGACAGUGACUUUGCUUCCCUGGGGACCGCUGACAUUGUCUGGAGGCGUUUUUGGUUGUAUAUUGUGAUGGGGUCGGGGGGGGGGGAGGAGACUGCUACUGACAUCGGGUAAGCUGAGGCAGGAAUACCACUCAUCAUGCUACACUGUACAGAAUAGUCCCCUCAAUAAAGAAUCACCCAGAGAGGCUGUGGGUCUCUGUCCCAGAUACAUGCUGUCCAGGACGGUGACUGCCAGCAUAGGUGAUGGCAGGGCCUUUGCAGAGUGACCAGCCACCCCACUCCAGAUGAACUUUGAGUUUAACAAAGUCUCACAGGGGAAAGAAUGUCAGCUUUCUCAUGAAUCAUCUUUACGUUAUCAUGUAUUCCAAUGAUGGCAUUUUGGAUAUGUUGAGCUUAACAAAAUAUAGCAUGAGUAUUAAUUACA